AGUGUGUGUGUAGUGUGUAUAUAAUGCAGAGUGUGUGUUUGUGUAGUGUGUAGUGUGUAUUGUGAAUGCAAACACACACUCUGCAUUAUAUACACACUACACAAACAC